UACAGAGGGGGCAAGCGUUAUUCGGAAUUAUUGGGCGUAAAGGGCGCGUAGGCGGCCUGGCAAGUGACGGGUGAAAUCCCUCGGCUUAACCGAGGAACUGCCUGUCAGACUGCUUGGCUUGAGACCGGGAGAGGUGAGUGGAAUUCCGAGUGUAGAGGUGAAAUUCGUAGAUAUUCGGAAGAACACCAGUGGCGAAGGCGGCUCACUGGACUGGUAUUGACGCUGAGGUGCGAAAGCGUGGGGAGCAAACAGG
rnacentral:rRNA from 1 species